rnacentral:rRNA from 1 species
CUUUUAGACCUUCCUGGAGGAGCUUGCUAUCUAACCGAUAACCCACGAAAAACCUCACCGACUUUUGAAAAAACAACCUGUAUACCAUCGUCGUCAGCCUACCUCUUAAGAGAAGUAUGCUUAAUGAACCCCUUCUUCCCCACGUCAGAUCAAGGUGCAGUUAAUAAGUCGGGGAUAAGUGAGCUACAAUAACCCCUCAAUAUUCACCCCAACCUUCUUUAUGAACAACUUUAUGAAACAAAAGUUUAAAAUAGGAUUCAGCAGUAAUCACUAAAAUAAAAUAGAGAUGAAGCCUGCUCUAAAAUGCGU